ACCUAAACACUAGCCCAACAAUUUACCCAAUAAUCCCAUCACAACUAAAACAAACCAUUUGCCAAAACUAGUAGAGGCGAUCAAACCUUACCAACCGGCGCUAUAGAUAGCAGUACCGCAAGGGAAACAUGAAAAAACAAUGAAAAACCAAGUACAACAUAGCAGAGAUAAACACUCGUACCUCUUGCAUCACGGUCCAGCAAGAAAUAUACAAGCACGCUGCCACAAAGCCUGUAUCCCCGAAUCCAAGUGAGCUACCACAAGGCAACUGUAAGAGCGAAUCCGUCCCUGUAGCAAAAGGGUGGAAAGACCUUAUGGUAGAGGUGAAAAGCCUACCGAACUUGUUGAUAGCUGGUUGCCUGAUAAAAAAACCUAAGUUUAACUUUAGGCUUCACUAAAAAAAGUGACAAAUUCUACCAACCUUAAGCCUAAAAGCUAUUCAAUAGAGGUACAGCUCUAUUGAAGCAGGAAACAACCUGAAGUAGAGAAAAAUAAAUUACAUCCCUUUAACCGUAGGCCCUAAAGCAGCCACCAAUAAACACCGCGUCAAAGCAAACCAAUAAAAAAUUCCAACUAAUCACUAUACUUCCUACCCCCACACCAGGCCAUUCUAUUAAAACAUAGAAGAAACUAUGCUAGAACUAGUAACAAGAAACACUUCUCUCAGCACAACUGUAAACCAGCAAUAGAACACCUACUGAAAAUUAACAGACGCAAUAAUUAAAACUUCCCCAAACUAUUUUUAUACACUGUUAACCCGACACAGGAGUGCUAAAAAGAAAGAUUAAAAGCCAAAGAAGGAACUCAGCAAAUACUAAUCCCAACUGUUUACCAAAAACAUAGCCUUUAGCCCUCACAAGUAUUAAAGGUAACGCCUGCCCAGUGACUCAUUAAACGGCCGCGGUAUCCUAACCGUGCAAAGGUAGCGUAAUCACUUGUCCUCUAAAUAAGGACUAGUAUGAACGGCUAAAUGAGGAUUAACCUGUCUCCUUAGGCCAAUCAGUGAAACUGAUCUGCCAGUACAAAAGCUGACAUGACACCAUAAGACGAGAAGACCCUGUGGAGCUUUAGAUCCUUUAGCCAAAUCCAACCCUCCCCUAUUCACCCAUGGCUAAACAUCUUAAGUUGGGGCGACUUCGGAGCAAAGCAAAACCUCCGAGCAACAGAACCUAAAUCUAUCCCUAGGCAAACACGCCAAAGCAAAGCCUGACCCAGUAUUACUGACCACCGAACCAAGUUACCCCAGGGAUAACAGCGCCAUCUUCUUCAAGAGUCCAUAUCGACAAGAAGGUUUACGACCUCGAUGUUGGAUCAGGACACCCAAAUGGUGCAGCCGCUAUUAAAGGUUCGUUUGUUCAACGAUUAACAGUCCUACGUGAUCUGAGUUCAGACCGGAGCAAUCCAGGUCGGUUUCUAUCUAUGACGCCGCUCUCUUCAGUACGAAAGGACCAAGAAAGCAGGACCUAUACUACUAAAGCACGUCCUACCUUCCCCGAGUUGACCCCCACUCAAACUCAAAAGAAGCACAACACCCCCCCGGAGAUAUACGGGAU
rnacentral:rRNA from 1 species